rnacentral:tRNA from 1 species
CCGGCGUAGCUCAGCGGUAGAGCAGUUGACUGUUAAUCAAUUGGUCGUAGGUUCGANNGUGCCAAAAAUCCCUGAA